AUUUAAUUUUUUCUCUAAUCUCUUUGUCCUAAGUCCUAAAUGGAUAUGGAAAAAGAGACGGGGUUUGGAGUGGAAACGCCCAAGCCUACCGAUUCUUGGGGAAGUUCUUCCUUAAGAUGAAU
rnacentral:ncRNA from 2 species